GCGCAGCCCGACUUGAACGGAGCUCAUUUUUUGCAAGGGAUUUAGCUUGGGAAAAAUAGCGGGAGUGGAAGGCGGAUUAAGC
rnacentral:misc_RNA from 1 species